UCAGUUGGCAGCAGAUUCAGAACUGAGAAUGUUUACAAAAGGCACUAAUCAGAGAUGACCCAGUCUUUACUCUCUGGCUAUGUCGGAAUGAGGAGGCAGUACCUUCUAUAAGGCUGGAGGUAGGGAGAGACGACUUGAGCCUUAAUUAAUCUCUUUACCUGGACCCCCACAAGCCUAACGUGGCUUUCUGCCAAGCAUCAGAUGAGCACUUAGAGGGGAAAGAACAAACUGGAUGGCUGUCUGGGAAGGAAAGGGAAAAUCCUUCAGGCUCUCAGACUCCUCUGGAACUACUCUGAGCUCUGACAGCCCAGUUUUCCCAUUCUCUUGCCUGGAUCCACACCUCUGUCACACAUCCUGGCCAUCAUGAGCAUAGGACCCCUCUUGCUUUCCAACUCCUCUUAGUGUAUUAUUUUCCCACUUUAAAAUGUAAGCUCCUUGUGGGCAGGAGGUGUCUUUGCCUGCUUAUAUUUGU